CCUACGGGUGACAGCAGUGAGGAAUAUUGGUCAAUGGUCGGGAGACUGAACCAGCCAAGCCGCGUGCGGGAGGAAGGUACAGAGUAUCGUAAACCUCUUUUGUCAGGGAACUAAGGCGGGGACGUGUCCCCGGAUGAGUGUACCUGAAGAAAAAGCAUCGGCUAACUCCGUGCCAGCAGCCGCGGUAAUACGGAGGAUGCGAGCGUUAUCCGGAUUUAUUGGGUGAAAGGGGUGCGCAGGCGGUCUGUUAAGUCAGAGGGAAAAUCCCGGGGCUCAACUCCGGCCCGCCGUUGAAACUGGCAGUCUAGAGUUGGAGAGAGGUAUGCGGAAUGCGCGGUGUAGCGGUGAAAUGCAUAGAUAUCGCGCAGAACUCCGAUUGCGAAGGCAGCAUGCCGGCUCCACACUGACGCUGAGGCACGAAAGCGUGGGUAUCGAACAGGAUUAGAUACCCUUGUAGUC
rnacentral:rRNA from 1 species